rnacentral:rRNA from 1 species
ACGGGAGGCAGCAGUGGGGAAUAUUGCACAAUGGGGGAAACCCUGAUGCAGCGACGCCGCGUGAGUGAAGAAGUAUUUCGGUAUGUAAAGCUCUAUCAGCAGGAAAGAAAAUGACGGUACCUGACUAAGAAGCCCCGGCUAACUACGUGCCAGCAGCCGCGGUAAUACGUAGGGGGCAAGCGUUAUCCGGAUUUAUUGGGUUUAAAGGGAGCGUAGGCGGGCGAUUAAGUCAGCGGUUAAAUAGUGUGGCUCAACCAUGCCUUGCCGUUGAUACUGGUUGUCUUGAGAGUACUAGAGGUGGAUGGAAUUUAGGGUGUAGCGGUGAAAUGCUUAGAUAUCCUAAAGAACUCCGAUUGCGAAGGCAGUCCACUGGGGUACGUCUGACGCUGAAGCUCGAAAGUGCGGGUAUCAAACAGGAUUAGAUACCCUGGUA